rnacentral:rRNA from 1 species
UACGUAGGGUGCGAGCGUUAAUCGGAAUUACUGGGCGUAAAGCGUGCGUAGGCGGUUCGUUAUGUCUGCUGUGAAAGCCCCGGGCUUAACCUGGGAAUGGCAGUGGAAACUGGCGGGCUUGAGUGUGGCAGAGGGGGGUGGAAUUCCGCGUGUAGCAGUGAAAUGCGUAGAUAUCUGGAGGAACACCGGUGGCGAAGGCGGCAUCCUGGACCGGUAUUGACGCUGAUGCGCGAAAGCCAGGGGAGCAAACGGG